rnacentral:misc_RNA from 1 species
ACAGAUGUUUGACAUCUGCGAGCGCUAUAUGUGUUAAAAAUUAAAUGUAAGGUUAAAAGACGAGUAGUAAGUCGUAUAAUGUUAAUCAAUGAAAAUGUGUUAGCAAUUUUGAAUUUUUCUCAAUCUUAACAAUCUACUCUCCAUCAUCUCCUAAUUAGAUGUCCUAAUUGUAUUCCUGGAUAUAUAACAGCGGCUGGUAUUUAUUUAUAAUCACAGAGGUAGCCAUAUUUUUGCGAGGGUCGCGCUUGCUCGACCUCCAACAUGGGCGUUCCUUUUGUCGUCUGCAAUGUGUCAAAUGAGCCGAAAAUGAUCGAAAACUGUUGGAUAAUCGAGUGAGAUAUUAAAUUCGCCGUGAAAAUCGAUGUGUCAACAAAGACGUCUCUGGGGAGAUCUAAAAAUGCAUUAUCCAUUUUGACAAACGUAUCGGAUUUCCGUUUGCUAUUUUUGCUGAUAGUGUCGCGAGAACAAAAGACAUUUCUAGUGCAAUUAAAUACAUUAGUUGAAUUAGAAACACGAAAGAAAAAAGUGCGAUUUCGUUUUAUCGAACAGUCUCUUUUUCACCGAAGCUUCGAAACUCUUAAUCCACCAGAUGAGAGAUCAAUGAGGGAUCCCACCGAUUCAGUAAAGGUUAUGCAGCGAAAUCGAGAAAAAAUAAAGACGUCAAAAGAAUUUUCUGCAUGCUAAUUAUUUGAUGUAAGCAAGAAAGAGAAAAAGGAAAACGGUUUUUUUUGCAAAUAAUAAGCGACAGAACACUUUAAUGCGUACUACAAGCUCCGAGAAACUAAAGUACAAGAUUCCUGUCCCAAAUCAGCUGAUCAGCAAAAAGAAUCUGUGAGAUUUAAUUAAGCUUUAAUGAGAGCAUUAUUUUGAAUAUACACAUAUUGAAAAUAUUUGCACAAAGCUCAGUUUGAGAUAAUUUUGUACGCGUGACAGACAAUAUUUAUUUCUCACGAAAAAGAAAAUUGUAAAAUGUCGGGGAACAAUUCAACGGCGAUGAAUACAAACAAAGGUAGUAAUCUCCAAAAUCGCAAUUCGCAGAGAUCUACCCUUCUGAAAGUAGUGAUACUUGGAGAUGGUGGUGUCGGAAAGUCUUGUCUUAUGAACAGAUUCGUAUCGAAUCAUUUUGAUGAGCAUAGUUUUCAUACUAUUGGAGUAGAAUUUCUAAAUAAAGAUAUUGAAAUCAAUGGCGAAGGGUAUACAUUACAAAUAUGGGACACUGCCGGCCAGGAAAGGUUUAAGACCCUCAGAACACCUUUCUAUAGGGGCUCGGAUAUUUGCCUUCUGACUUAUGCAGUAGACGAUAGGACGAGUUUUAGAAAUUUAGCAUUAUGGAGAUCUGAAUUUCUAAAAUAUGCAGAUGUUCAAGAAGAUUCCAGUUUUCCAUUUAUCGUUGUUGGUAAUAAGGUGGAUGUUGCCGAAUCUGAGAAGCAGGUGUCCACAGAAGAAGCUCAAGCUUGGUGUUUAGAAAAUGGCAGUCCUCCGCUAGUUGAGACAUCAGCGAAAGAUGCCACUAAUGUUGAGGCAGCAUUUGGGGCAGCGGUUGACGUAUGGGCGCGAUUAGAAGCUAGAUUAGAACGGCCUUUAAUAGAAGAUACCGUCGAUCUUUCUAAACAGCAAUCUCCGCAUCGUUCGAGCUGCUGCAUGCCUGUAUCUAGCGGCGAAUCUUCAUUUGUGAGCAGCUAAUUGAAAUUAUAGGGUUAUAGGAAGAUAAGCAUGCAGUAUGCAAUCUUUAUAUGAUGCAAAUCAAUAUUUCUGGAACAGACAUUUAAAGUUUCUUUCCAUUUGUAAGAAAUAUAUAAUGUCACAAAUUGAACUUGAAAUGAUGUUUUUACUCUCUUUAGGGUCAAUAAGAACAUUACGCAAUAUAAGUGUCUAACAAAGUAAUUUGAAGAGAAUCUCUUGCCUGUCUACAAUACUUUCUUCAUUAUAUGGUAAACUUUCUUUAUUGACAUUGGAAUUAUGUCGAUUGUAUAUGAACGACAUAUAUAAUUUCA